rnacentral:lncRNA from 1 species
ACCUCCACAUCCGCAGACUUCAACAGCAGGUCCCGCAGAGGGCUGUAAUAGUCAGAAGAAAACACGUGGUCUUCCGUGUAUACCACGUUCAGCCGCAGGGAGCCCAGGUCGUCUGGCUUUAGGCUCUUGCUACCAUUGUCCCGGGGCUGGAGGAAGUACCUGGGUCAUCUCCAAACUUCAGGUUACUGGCAUUCCAGAGGUCAACUCUGAAAAUCACCUGAUUUCGAGCUUGUCCACGUCUUCCUCCUCAAAGUCAAAGUGGGACUUCUUGCUGUAGCUACAGGGCCGGGUCACCUGGAGUCAGAC